AGGGAAUAUUGCGCAAUGGGCGAAAGCCUGACGCAGCGACGCCGCGUGAGUGAUGAAGGUCCUCUGGAUUGUAAAGCUCUGUAAGGAGGGAAGAACCGCCUGGUGUAACGGCCAGGUCUGACGGUACCUCCAAAGUAAGCACCGGCUAAAUAAGUGCCAGCAGCCGCGGUAAUACUUAUGGUGCGAGCGUUGUCCGGAAUGACUGGGCGUAAAGGGUGCGUAGGCGGACUUUCAAGUCAGGUGUGAAAUCCCCGGGCUUAACCUGGGAACUGCGCUUGAAACUGGAAGUCUAGAGUAUGUGAGGGGUUAGCGGAAUUCCCGGAGUAGCGGUGAAAUGCGUAGAGAUCGGGAAGAACACCGGUGGCGAAGGCGGCUAACUGGCACAUGACUGACGCUGAGGCACGAAAGCGUGGGGAGCGAACGGGAUUAGAUACCCCCGUAGUC
rnacentral:rRNA from 1 species